UGGGGAAUAUUGCGCAAUGGGGGGAACCCUGACGCAGCCAUGCCGCGUGAAUGAAGAAGGCCUUCGGGUUGUAAAGUUCUUUCGGUAUUGAGGAAGGUUGAUGUGUUAAUAGCACAUCAAAUUGACGUUAAAUACAGAAGAAGCACCGGCUAACUCCGUGCCAGCAGCCGCGGUAAUACGGAGGGUGCGAGCGUUAAUCGGAAUAACUGGGCGUAAAGGGCACGCAGGCGGUUAUUUAAGUGAGGUGUGAAAGCCCUGGGCUUAACCUAGGAAUUGCAUUUCAGACUGGGUAACUAGAGUACUUUAGGGAGGGGUAGAAUUCCACGUGUAGCGGUGAAAUGCGUAGAGAUGUGGAGGAAUACCGAAGGCGAAGGCAGCCCCUUGGGAAUGUACUGACGCUCAUGUGCGAAAGCGUGGGGAGCAAACAGGAUUAGAUAUCCUGGUAGUCCACGCUGUAAACGCUGUCGAUUUGGGGGUUGGGGUUUAACUCUGGCGCCCGUAGCUAACGUGAUAAAUCGACCGCCUGGGGAGUACGGCCGCAAGGUU
rnacentral:rRNA from 1 species